CAGUCUUGAUGACAAUAGAAAAGAAAGUGUUCUGAAACACAUAAAUUAUUUUGUUCAGUCAUUCAGCAAAUAUUCAUGGAAGGCCUGUGGGCCAGAAGCAUCAGACGUCAGGAAGAACAGAAGCUUUAGAGCAGAGAUUUUGAUGUGAAUCCCUGCGCUACUACUUACCUGGGAGAACUUGGGCAAUUGUCUUAACUUCUCUGAACUUCAGGUGUGUUGAGCUAUACGAUGGGCUUGAUAAGUGUUGUUUUAUAGGAUAAAUAUCUAACCCAGGGCCUGGCAUUCGGAUUAACAAAUGUCCAUUUUCUCACUUGGUCCUUUGCUUUUCUCAGGCUCCCUUUCCUUCUGGCAUGAAUGCAUCCAUGCACGGGGACGCACACCCAUGCAAACCCAUCCUGCUGGAACGUGCAGACCCAUCCUAACUGAGAACUAUGAAUGUACUAAACUAGAGUUCUUGUGGCUUAUCUCGUCACCCGCGCCCUCAGAUUGGUGAGGGCAUUUCAACAGCUGGCCAGUCCCAGUCAUUUGCCCCAUUAAUUAUACACACACCAACCUUCCAACUUCUUCUCUCUGUUGCUUCCUGGAAACAGUCUUGAAAGAACACAUUCUGUGCACAGCAUGCUUUGAACUUAUCCACAUUUAUCUUUUUCCCCCCAACCCCACAUUUAUCAAAUAAAAAUAGUUGUGCAGAGGGGGUAUGGUGCAGCCGAUGCUCUGGGAUGGCCCACUGUUUGAGGACAGGGUCUGUAACUCAUGCCCUAUCAAGCAAUCAGAAUGCCAGGCUAACACUGUGACAGCUGUGAGAACUUCUCUCACUUAAGACGGAACUACCAGGUCCCGCAGUACGGCCGCUUGCUUUUCUCUGUUCCUGCUUCCCUUCUGUUGGAGGUCAGGACUAGAGCAGUGGACCUGAGUCACGGAGUCACGGAUCCUGUCUUUGACGGGAGGCUGGUGAACUUGCCUCUGUUUUGCAUAUUCUGCUUCUUCCUGUUGCCUGGACCUUCCCUGCCUUCCCUGGGUGCUGACACGUGUGAGAUCCACAGGCCAUCACUCUCUCUGCUGUAGCUGGUCACUCAUGUCCUGGAGAAGCUGAAAGCAAAGGGUCUCACAGCCUCUCUCUGCUGCCAGCUACCGGCCAUCCUGUUCCACUGUGGAUAGCUCCAGUGGCCGAGGGAGCACAUUAUGAUGUGGCGAGCUACUUCCGUCUGCUUCUGCUAGUUCUUCUGGAAGCUACACGGAAUACUCUAUUGGACUGUAUCAUCUUUCAGAGGAUUGAGGAUAAGAAGAUGACUGUCAUUCCCCUCACAGAAAUAUGUAGAUCUCAGUAGUUCCUCAUCUGAAGUCACCUUCAGACAUAGACAGUGCAAACAACAAAG